UACGUAGGGUGCUAGCGUUGUUCGGAAUCAUUGGGCGUAAAGCGCGUGUAGGCGGCUUUCUAAGUCGAGUGUGAAAUCCCUGGGCUCAACCCAGGAAGUGCAUUCGAAACUAGUUGGCUAGAAGACAGUAGAGGAAGGUGGAAUUCCAAGUGUAGAGGUGAAAUUCGUAGAUAUUUGGAGGAAUACCGGUGGCGAAGGCGGCCUUCUGGGCUGUUCUUGACGCUGAGACGCGAAAGCGUGGGUAGCAAACAGG
rnacentral:rRNA from 1 species